UGUGUGUGUGUGUAUGUAUGUAAAUAUCUAUAACUUUCAAACGGAUGAACCAAUUUCGAUCGUCAAGGUAUCAUUCAACGCGGCUUGUCAAUAUUUAAGGUAGUCGGGACGUGCAAACAAAAAUUCAAGAAAUCUUCGAAACUUUGAAUAUAAGUAUUUAAGUGUAUAACACACACGCUGUAGUUUUUUUCCUUGACGAAGUUUUACCGUUUUAACGAAAAACUAAUAUAAUGUAGAAAAAUAUAUAUUUAGAACAUUAAAAAAAAUAAAUUAGAAUUAUUUACCGUGUAGUUUGUAUAAAAAAUUGAAAUAAAUUUCACAUUUCGAGAAUUAGUUUUAGUGGAAGGGAUCGGAGAAACGGUCACGAGUAAAUGAAGCGGCAACUUUAAAAGGGGGCAAUAAAUUUUUUUAAGAACAUUCCUACAUAUCAUUUGAACUUAUGAAUCAAUUCAGCAUACCUUCGAACUUUAUGAAGAUAAAAAAUUACCUAUAAAAUUAGUAUAGAAAAUUUAAUUAGUAUUAAAUUGUAAUUGUAAUCGCUAUUGUGAUGACAAGACCAGUUAUAAUUAUAGGACGUACAGGUACGAUUGAAACAUCAUAAAUAAUAGAAGAAACACUCUUAAGGUAGUUCCAGCGUGGUAUACUAUAGUCAGAGUGUUUACUAUAGACAAAAAUUUAGAAGCCUCGGCACACAGACGUUCACACAUACAAUUACAUAUUGUUAGUUUCAGUGAUCUGACAAAUAUAAUUUGUCAAGCAGGCAAGUUGGAAAUGGAUCGAAAAUUAUUUUUUUUUAUUAUUAUAUCUCGAUAACAAAACGGUGAGGCGCUACUUUUAUUUUUUUAAAUUAUUGUAAAAACAUUUUUUGACACUCUCCUACUUUUUUUCCAAUUCUGUCGAGAGAAUUUUUUAAUAUAAUAAAAAAUAGUUGGGGCACUGAGAGAACAAUUUAUUUGAGCCAAAGAAAUAGAUUUAUUUGAAACUAUUUUAAAGUAUUUAUUUGACACAAAAGAAAUUUAUUUUAUUGAAAUAAAAAAUAAUUUGAGUCAAAUACUAUUCAAUGUUGGUCUAUUUGAAUGAACAAAAUCAUUUAUUUCAUUCAAAUAAAGAUUUGUUUAUAGUUAACAAAUCUGGUUUUGAAAAAUUACGCUGCGACUUGUGGCGCUACGGUCGCUACCAGCGUCCAGCAUCGUCCCGCCAUUUAUCACAUGUUUUGUUUACAUCACUUACAUAGUGAGUGUAUUUAAUGAUUGUUAUUUAUUUAUUAAGUUAUUACGGAUUAUCUAAUGAACAAUAAUAAAACUAAAUAUGGAAGAAUUAUUAUCAGCUUGGAAUUUAUCUCAUUUGUUGCCCAUAUUUGAAGAAAACGGUAUUACGAACACAGAGUUAUUACAAGAACUAUGAGAAAAUAAAGAUGAACUCGAAAAAAUUGUUAAAUUUAUGGGAGCAAGAUUGACUUUAAAAAAAAAAUUUCGCGAACAUAUUGAAAACAACAAGAACAUCAAGGAAGUACAAGAGCAAGAUUCAUUUUACGACUUCCAUAUUGCGCUACCAGAGAAUACUACUGAUGAUCAGGAAAUUAUUCCUUCUACUUCUUUAGUGGAUUUAAAUCUUCCUUUGAUUUUGAACAAUUACUUAAAAAAUAAUUUCCUAUAUUCUCAAGAUGUUAAAAAAUAUUCUGUGACAUGGCUCAAAGUGAAUGGAACUUUUUAUAAGCCUAUGUCUAUUAUUUACAUAAAAAAUGAUGCUAAUAAUGAUCCAGUAUUUGGAUUAAUUACGAAUAUAAUAAUAUUUGAAACAAAUGAUAUUUUUAUUAUGUACAAAGAAUGCUUAAAUAAUGGUUUCAUUAAUCAUAUUAAAUGCUACGAAAUUUCGAUGCCUCCGAAUCAUGAAACUAAAAAGGAAUUAAAAUUAGAUAAAUAUAUAUAUAGACGAUGUAUGAAAAUGCAUGUUACUGGUAAUGGAAAAACUGUCAU